rnacentral:tRNA from 1 species
GGCUGUGUGGUCUAGUGGUAUGAUUCUCGCUUAGGGUGCGAGAGGUCCCGAGUUCAAAUCACGGCACAGCCC